UACGUAGGGUCCAAGCGUUAUCCGGAAUCACUGGGCGUAAAGCGUGCGUAGGUGGAUGUUUAAGUGAGAGGUUAAAUCGUGUGGCUCAACCAUAUCGAUGCCUCUCAUACUGGGCAUCUAGAGGACAGCAGAGGCAAGUGGAACUGGUAGUGUAGCAGUGAAAUGCGUAGAUAUUACAAAGAACACCAAUGGCGAAGGCAGCUUGCUGGGCUACUCCUGACACUGAGGUACGAAAGCGUGGGGAGCGAACAGG
rnacentral:rRNA from 1 species